rnacentral:rRNA from 1 species
UACGAAGGUCCCAAGCGUUGUUCGGAAUCACUGGGCGUAAAGGGAGCGUAGGCGGCGAUGUAAGUCAGAUGUGAAAUUCCGGGGCUCAACCUCGGAACUGCAUCCGAUACUGCAUUGCUAGAGUAGUAGAGGGGCAUCUGGAAUUCACGGUGUAGCAGUGAAAUGCGUAGAGAUCGUGAGGAACACUAGUGGCGAAGGCGAGAUGCUGGAUACUUACUGACGCUGAGGCUCGAAGGCCAGGGUAGCGAAAGGG